ACACCGUUGGUGAAGUGGUUAUCAUGCUUGCCUUCCAUGCGAAAACCCGGAAGACCCAAGCAAGCGGCUCGGGUUCGAUUCCCGAACGGUGUA